rnacentral:rRNA from 1 species
GACGAACGCUGGCGGCGUGCUUAACACAUGCAAGUCGAACGGAAAGGCCCUGCUUGCAGGGUACUCGAGUGGCGAACGGGUGAGUAACACGUGGGUGAUCUGCCCUGCACUUCGGGAUAAGCCUGGGAAACUGGGUCUAAUACCGGAUAGGAGCCAUUUUUAGUGUGAUGGUUGGAAAGUUUUUUCGGUGUAGGAUGAGCUCGCGGCCUAUCAGCUUGUUGGUGGGGUAAUGGCCUACCAAGGCGGCGACGGGUAGCCGGCCUGAGAGGGUGGACGGCCACAUUGGGACUGAGAUACGGCCCAGACUCAUACGGGAGGCAGCAGUGGGGAAUAUUGCACAAUGGGCGCAAGCCUGAUGCAGCGACGCCGCGUGGGGGAUGACGGCCUUCGGGUGGUAAACUCCUUUCGCUAGGGACGAAGCUUUUUGUGACGGGACCUAGAUAAGAAGCACCGGCUAACUACG